GAUGAAGAACGCAGCGAAAUGCGAUAAGUAAUGUGAAUUGCAGAAUUCCGUGAAUCAUCGAAUCUUUGAACGCACAUUGCGCCCCUCGGUAUUCCGGGGGGCAUGCCUGUCCGAGCGUCAUUGCAACCUUCAAGCGCGGCUUGUGUGUUGGGCCUCGUCCCCCGUGGACGGGCCUGAAAGGCAGUGGCGGCGCCCGAAUCCGGUGCCCGAGCGUAUGGGGCUUCGUCACCCGCUCUUGUAGGCCCGGCCGGCGCUUGCCGACACAUCAAUCUUUUUUCCAGGUUGACCUCGGAUCAGGUAGGGAUACCCGCUGAACUUAAGCAUAUCAAUAAGCGGAGGA
rnacentral:misc_RNA from 1 species